GCCGAGAUGGCGAAAUUGGUAGACGCACUAGAUUCAGGUUCUAGCGCUGGCAACAGUGUGGAGGUUCGAGUCCUCUUCUCGGCA
rfam:Parcubacteria (Wolfebacteria) bacterium GW2011_GWC2_39_22 TT41_C0001, whole genome shotgun sequence.